GGGGGUAUAGCUUAGUGGUAGAGUGUGCAGUUAGCAUGCAAAAAGUCCUGGGUUCAAUCCCCAGUACCUCCG
rfam:Camelus ferus unplaced genomic scaffold scaffold141, whole genome shotgun sequence.